rnacentral:ncRNA from 1 species
UAAACUUAAUAACUUUACUCAUAUAAUCGCAAGGAUAAGGCUUGCAAGUUUCUACCGAUUUACCGUAAAUGAAUCGACUAUGAGUGAAGCAUGU